rnacentral:rRNA from 1 species
AUUGAACGCUAGCGGGAUGCUUUACACAUGCAAGUCGAACGAGUGGCGGACGGGUGAGUAAUGUAUGGGGACUGCCCGAUAGAGGGGGAUAACUACUGGAAACGGUAGCUAAUACCGCAUACUAUCGGAUAACCCAUAUGGGAUUAGCUAGUAGGUGAGGUAAUGGCUCACCUAGGCGACGAUCCCUAGCUGGUCUGAGAGGAUGAUCAGCCACACUGGGACUGAGACACGGCCCAGACUCCUACGGAGGCAGCAGUGGGGAAUAUUGCACAAUGGGCGCAAGCCUGAUGCAGCCAUGCCGCGUGUAUGAAGAAGGCCCUAGGGUUGUAAAGUACUUUCAGUCGGGAGGCGUUACCGACAGAAGAAGCACCGGCUAACUCCGUGCCAGCAGCCGCGGUAAUAC